rnacentral:tRNA from 1 species
UGGCGAUGGGAAGCGGACACGCCGCGUUCGAGGCGGCGGGACUGAAUGCGGGUCUCGCUCGCGCGUUCGAUUUCGCGCAGCGGCAC